rnacentral:rRNA from 1 species
AGGCAGCAGUAGGGAAUAUUGGACAAUGGGGGCAACCCUGAUCCAGGCAUGCCGCGUGUGUGAAGAAGGCCUUAGGGUUGUAAAGCACUUUAAGUGAGGAAGAAAAGAUUUAAAUUAAUACUUUAAGUCCCUGACAUUACUCACAGAAUAAGGACCGGCUAACUCCGUGCCAGCAGCCGCGGUAAUACGGAGGGUCCAAGCGUUAAUCGGAAUUACUGGGCGUAAAGCGCGCGUAGAUGGUUUAUUCAGUUGGGUGUGAAAUCCCUGGGCUCAACCUAGGAACUGCAUUCAAAACUUAUAAACUAGAGUACGAAAGAGGAGAGUAGAAUUCAUGGUGUAGCGGUGAAAUGCGUAGAGAUCAUGAGGAAUACCAGUGGCGAAGGCGACUCUCUGGUUCGAGACUGACAUUGAGGUGCGAAAGCGUGGGUAGCAAACAGGAUUAGAUACCCUGGUAGUCCACGCCGUAAACGAUGAGAACUAGCCGUUGGAUCUUUAGAUUCAGUGGCGCAGCUAACGCAUUAAGUUCUCCGCCUGGGGAGUACGGCCGCAAGGCUAAAACUCAAAUGAAUUGACGGGGGCCCGCACAAGCGGUGGAGCAUGUGGUUUAAUUCGAUGCAACGCGAAGAACCUUACCAACCCUUGACAUCCAGUGGAAGUUUUAGAGAUAAAACUGUGCCUUUGGGAACACUGUGACAGGUGUUGCAUGGCUGUCGUCAGCUCGUGUCGUGAGAUGUAUGGUUAAGUCCAGUAACGAGCGCAACCCUUAUCCUUAUUUGCCAGCACUUCGGGUGGGAACUUUAAGGAGACUGCCGUGAAUAACACGGAGGAAGGUGGGGACGACGUCAAGUCAUCAUGGCCCUUACGGGUUGGGCUACACACGUGCUACAAUGGGAGAUACAGACGGUUGCGAAAGCGCGAGCUGGAGCUAAUCCUACAAAGUCUUCCUCAGUCCGGAUUGGAGUCUGCAACUCGACUCCAUGAAGUAGGAAUCGCUAGUAAUCGCGAAUCAGAAUGUCGCGGUGAAUACGUUCUCGGGCCUUGUACACACCGCCCGUCACGUCAUGGGAGUGUGUUGCACCAGAAGUGGUUUGCCUAACCUUUGGAGGGCGGCCCCCACGGUGUGAUACGCGACUGGGACGAAGUCGUAACAAGGUAGCCCUAGGGGAACCUGGGGCUG